rnacentral:rRNA from 1 species
AGUGAACGCUGGCGGCGUGCUUAACACAUGCAAGUCGAACGAUAACGGGAUAUAGCUUGCUAUAUUUGUCAGCUAAGUGGCGCACGGGUGAGUAAUGUAUAGAUAACCUGCCCUCUAGAAAGGAAUAACAGUUGGAAACGACUGCUAAUGCCCUAUAUGCCUUUAAUACAUAAGUAUGCAAGGGAAACGCUUUAGUGCUAGAGGAUGGGUCUGUAUGGUAUCAGCUUGUUGGUGAGGUAAUGGCUCACCAAGGCUAUGACGCCUAACUGGUUUGAGAGGAUGAUCAGUCACACUGGAACUGAGAGACGGUCCAGACUCCUACGGGAGGCAGCAGUGGGGAAUAUUGCACAAUGGACGAAAGUCUGAUGCAGCAACGCCGCGUGGAGGAUGACACAUUUCGGUGCGUAAACUCCUUUUAUAUAGGAAGAUAAUGACGGUACUAUAUGAAUUAGCACCGGCUAACUCCGUGCCAGCAGCCGCGGUAA